AGUGAACGCUGGCGGUAGGCCUAACACAUGCAAGUCGAACGGCAGCACAGUAAGAGCUUGCUCUUACGGGUGGCGAGUGGCGGACGGGUGAGGAAUACAUCGCAAUCUACUUUUUCGUGGGGGAUAACGUAGGGAAACUUACGCUAAUACCGCAUACGUCCUACGGGAGAAAGCAGGGGAUCUUCGGACCUUUCGCGAUUGAAUGAGCCGAUGUCGGAUUAGCUAGUUGGCGGGGUAAAGGCCCACCAAGGCGACGAUCCGUAGCGGGUCUGAGAGGAUGAUCAGCCACACUGGAACUGAGACACGGUCCAGACUCCUACGGGAGGCAGCAGUGGGGAAUAUUGGACAAUGGGCGCAAGCCUGAUCCAGCCAUACCGCGUGGGUGAAGAAGGCCUUCGGGUUGUAAAGCCCUUUUGUUGGGAAAGAAAAGCAGCAGGUUAAUACCCCGCUGUUCUGACGGUACCCAAAGAAUAAGCACCGGCUAACUUCGUG
rnacentral:rRNA from 1 species